UACCCCCUUAAAGAUAGCCAGAAAAAGCCACAAGCAUGCCUUUCAUACAUAACAUUACAUGCUUUUCUUAACCCUAAUAGCCCUCAACUUGCACCAACUCACUUCUACUUGGUAGCUGAUUGUUAAGGAGUGUAUUGGGUGUAUAAAUAGAAGGUGCAGAUUGAAAGCCAUUAAGGGGAAAGGAAUAAAAGGGUAUAAAGGUAUCAAAAGCCAAUCGGCAAUGAUCGUAGGCUUGGAGCAGUGUGUAUAUAACUAUGCAUAAAUAAGCUUUAGUCCCUGUAACUAUUUCUUGUAUUUUGUGAAGAGAAGAAACACCACUCAGGAGAGCUUUAGGGGGAGAAGGAUUUUCUCUCCACUGAAAAUGUUAGGUCAUCAUGACUUUUGGUUUAGUAGGCAAUAAUUUGUGGACAUACAUAAUGACUUUCGCAUUGUUUUUUUUUUUCUUUUUUUUUUU
rnacentral:misc_RNA from 1 species